rnacentral:rRNA from 1 species
GGAGUCUGGACCGUGUCUCAGUUCCAGUGUGGCCGUUCACCCUCUCAGGUCGGCUACGCAUCCUCGCCUUGGUGGGCUGUUAUCUCACCAACUAGCUAAUGCGCCGCAGGUCCAUCUUUCAGCGAGGCUUUAAAGGCCCCUUUUAGAAUCAGGAGAUGCCUCCCGAUCAUUUAUCCGGUAUUAGCCAAAGUUUCCCUUGGGUAUCCCAAACUGUAAGGCAGGUUACCUACGUGUUACUCACCCGUUCGCCACUAGGAUUCUGCCGAAACAAAAUCCCCGUUCGACUUGCAUGUGUUAGGCACGCCGCCAGCGUUCGUCCUGAGCCACGGAGUCAAACUACU